CCUACGGUAUUCCUCCUUCUUUCCUCUUGCUCCCUGGGGGACACCCUGCCUCAGCAACGCCGCGUGGAGGAUGAAGGUUUUCGGAUUGUAAACUCCUUUUGUUAGAGAAGAUAAUGACGGUAUCUAACGAAUAAGCACCGGCUAACUCCGUGCCAGCAGCCGCGGUAAUACGGAGGGUGCAAGCGUUACUCGGAAUCACUGGGCGUAAAGAGCGCGUAGGCGGGAUAGCAAGUCAGAUGUGAAAUCCUAUGGCUUAACCAUAGAACUGCAUUUGAAACUGUUAUUCUAGAGUAUGGGAGAGGUAG
rnacentral:rRNA from 1 species